ACACUCUGGUUUCUCUUCAGAUCGUAUAAAUCUUUCGCCUUUUACUAAAGAUUUCCAUGGAAAAUGGACUAAUAUAGCCAUCAUUUCUCAGGGUGUGGCGCCAGACCUAGUCUCUGGAU